rnacentral:rRNA from 1 species
CUGAGGAGCGAAAGCGUGGGGAGCGAACAGGAUUAGAUACCCUGGUAGUCCACGCCGUAAACGUUGGGCGCUAGAUGUGGGGACCAUUCCACGGUCUCCGUGUCGCAGCUAACGCAUUAAGCGCCCCGCCUGGGGAGUACGGCCGCAAGGCUAAAACUCAAAGGAAUUGACGGGGGCCCGCACAAGCGGCGGAGCAUGCGGAUUAAUUCGAUGCAACGCGAAGAACCUUACCAAGGCUUGACAUACACCUGAAAAGGCUGGAAACAGUCUCCCCGCAAGGCAGGUGUACAGGUGGUGCAUGGUUGUCGUCAGCUCGUGUCGUGAGAUGUUGGGUUAAGUCCCGCAACGAGCGCAACCCUCGUUCUAUGUUGCCAGCGCGUAAUGGCGGGAACUCAUAGGAGACUGCCGGGGUCAACUCGGAGGAAGGUGGGGAUGACGUCAAAUCAUCAUGCCCCUUAUGUCUUGGGCUUCACGCAUGCUACAAUGGCCGGUACAAAGGGCUGCAAUACCGUAAGGUGGAGCGAAUCCCAAAAAGCCGGUCUCAGUUCGG